rnacentral:misc_RNA from 1 species
GGUGGUGGCAUGAUGAAUUACGGUUACGGUGCUGGUAUGGUUAAUGAAGAAGAGAUGGCGAGGAGGAUGGUGCCAUGGAGGCCGCUAUACAUUGCCGAGCAACCGCCGCCGCCACCACCACCGACGCAGAUGUUCAGUGAUGAGAACCCUAAUGCCUGCAGCAUCUCAUAGCGGACUACUACAGUCAGUAUUUAUGUAUCUAUCUGCGGAAUAGAUCUGUAUGUAAUAAGGUUUGAG